AUUCCCUGUUCAAACUGAUGUAACUGUAAAGAGUGGGUUGAUUAAAUGACACUUUCUAUUUAAAACUGCAUCUCAUCAAAAGGUUGACUGUAAGUAUUCUGUAACCCUCAUACUACACCAUAGCCAUAAAGUAGGAACAGGAGAAAAUUCAGUCCAUACAGAAUCAUGGAUUUUUUGAGCUACAUUAAAUGACAUUCAGACUUUAACCUCCAUUAAAUGACAUUCAGAAUAUAAAUUGUAUAACUGAUAAAAAUUACAUUUAUGUUUUAACAUUUUAUUGAGGGGGGAGGAUCUGAAAGAUACUUCAUAGCAUAUAAUCUUGAAAAAACCACUGAAGUAAACACACAGAGCCUGAUUCUAACAUUCUUUCUGCAACUGUAAAUUAGGAAAAACUCAGUGGAUGCUUUGAAUGAGGUGAAAUCAGAAAGGCAAAUAACAGACAGUAAAUAUUGUCCUGUUUAACAAAAAGAUAAGGAAACCUGUAGCAAUUCACCCACCACUUUCAUCUAGACUUGUAUUUGUCCAGGCAGCACAGCCUGACCGCUGCCAGAGGACUUAGGCUGGGCUGGACCAGAACACGUCACUGCUCCCUUCUGGGCUGCAGCUUUGAGUAUCCUGACCCAAGGUGCAGGUCAAGGCCAGUGGAGAAUUCACUCUGGUUCUGGCCUGGCAGAGAGAAAGGACUCACCCUGAACAGCUACAGCUGAAGAAUCCAACUGCUUCCAGGGACAGCCGGAAGAAAGGAAGCCUCUUACAGAUCUCCAAAUCCCUGAUGCUUCUACACAGGGAUGGGAAUUCCCAGUGAACAUAUCUAAGGAUGCCAUUCUCUUUCACAUCAAAACAUAAGAGAUCAGAGAAUCCAUUAAUGAUAUUUUGAUUUAAAAGAAAAUAAAUGGAGGCAAAAAAAACCCCAUAAUUAAG